CAGGGCGCAGCUGACGGUUAAUACUGCGUGGAGGAUGAAGGCUCGUGGGUUGUAAACUCCUUUUCCUAGAGAAGAAAUCCUUGACGGUAUCUAGGGAAUAAGCAUUGGCUAACUACGUGCCAGCAGCUGCGGUAAUACGUGGAAUGCAAGCGUUAUCCGGAUUUAUUGGGCGUAAAGCGUCUGUAGGUUGCUUCGCAAGUUUGCUGUUAAAUUGUUCGGCUCAACCGAAUCCCAGCAGCAAAAACUAUGAAGCUUGAGUGUGGUAGAGGAAAAAGGAAUUCCCUGUGGAGCGGUGAAAUGCGUAGAGAUAGGGAAGAACACCAAUGGCGAAAGCAUUUUUCUGGGCCUGCACUGACACUGAGAGACGAAAGCUAGGGGAGCGAGUGGGAUUAGAUACCCCAUUAGUCCUAGCCGUAAACGAUGGAAACUACAUUUUGGGGCACAAAAUUCUUCAGAAUGGUAGCUAACGCGUUAAGUUUCCCGCCUGGGAAGUAUGCUCGCAAGAGUGAAACUCAAAGGAAUUGACGGGAGCCCGCACAAGCGGUGGAUUAUGCGGUUUAAUUCGAUGCAACACGAAGAACCUUACCAGGGUUUGACAUGUCACGAAGGAGGAAGAAAUUCUCUGUGGGGGACGUAAGUCCUCAACGUGAACACAGGUGGUGCAUGGCUGUCGUCAGCUCGUGUCCUAAGAUGUCGUGUUAAGUCACGCAACGAGCGCAACCUCGUGCU
rnacentral:rRNA from 1 species